CCUACGGGAGGCAGCAGUGGGGAAUAUUGGACAAUGGGGGGAACCCUGAUCCAGCGACGCCGCGUGAGUGAAGAAGUAUUUCGGUAUGUAAAGCUCUAUCAGCAGGGAAGAAAAUGACGGUACCUGACUAAGAAGCCCCGGCUAACUACGUGCCAGCAGCCGCGGUAAUCCGUAGGGGGCAAGCGUUAUCCGGAUUUACUGGGGGGAAAGGGAGCGUAGACGGUGCAGCAAGUCUGAUGUGAAAGGUCGGGGCCCAACCCCGGGACUGCAAUGGAAACUGUUGAACUGGAGUACAGGAGAGGAAAGUGGAAUUACUAGUGUAGAGGUGAAAUGCGUAGAUAUUAGGAGGAACACCAGUGGCGAAGGCGGCUUACUGGACUGUAACUGACGUUGAGGCUCGAAAGCGUGGGGAGCAAACAGGAUUAGAUACCCCUGUAGUC
rnacentral:rRNA from 1 species